CUCGACGGAUGUCAGCACCCCUGCAGAGGAACAACUGCAUCUCUUUGGUUUGUCCUGGGCAGUCCCAGGCCCAGAGAGCCUAUUGUCCUCUCUAUCUCCUAUGAAUUCACUGGUGGUCACCCCCACUGAGAACCUGCUGAAAAGCAUCAGUCCUGCUGAGAUUGAAGAGCUGACAAGAACCUGUAAAAGCAGCAUGCAAUGUGUCCAUGACACACUAGCAGCCGGUGUUCCUCCUGAACUGGGCCAGGAGACUCUGAAAGCUGAGACAGAAUUUCAAAAUCUGGCCCUGAUCAAAGGUAACAUGCCUCCCAUAGUGACACAGCCCACAGUGAUCCGCUCUCAGGUCAAAUCCCAGGUCAGCGUUCAGAUCAUCGCUGAGGAUGCCAACAGAGACAACAUCACUUAUUCGCUGCUCUUACCCAGGCCUCCCCAAGCUUCGAUCAACAGCGGUAAUGGCUACCUGACUUGGACCCCUCUAAGUACCCAGCCUGUCCAGCUGAGCAUCAAGGUCAGUGACAAACUGGGCAGCUCCCUCUUCACUCCCAUCCUGCGUGUCUGCAACUGCCUCAACGGAGGAACGUGCCAGUAUGACAGCAUCACUGAAAACCAUCUGCAGGGAAAGUUUCAGGUGGUGGGGUGUCUGUGUCCAGCGGGAUUCAGUGGGAAAUUCUGUGAGAACACUACAGAUUUAUGUCGAGGCGAGCCCUGUUUCCGAGGAGUGCAGUGCCGAUCAGAGUCUGGCCAGUUCACCUGUGGUGAAUGUCCUGAUAACACUUUCGCUAAUGGGAAAAAAGGAUACAAGUGCUUUGAAAGUAACAUGUGCAUCCCUCCUUUUCCCUUCCCCUGCCACAAAUAUGCUUAUUGCAACAGCACAAAACAGAGCUACACCUGCACAUGUAUGGAAGGCUUUAAUGGAGAUGGACACAACUGCACAGAUGAAGACGAGUGCGUGGAUUUUCUGAACUGUCAAAAUGCCAAGUAUGAGUGUAAGAACAAGCUUGGCACCUAUGAAUGCAUCUGCAGAUAUAAAAACUCCAAGGAUGAUAAAGGAUGUGGUGACUCUCCUAAUCCCCCAGGCUAUAACAUGUUCAAUGUCUCUGUGACCUGGAAAAAGAACGCAGCUGGUGGGAUCCAACAGUUGGAUGAGAUGUUAACCAGAGGUUUUACAAACAAGUAUUAUAACAUCACCGAGAUCAAUCAGGGAUUCACACCAGAUGUGCUCGAAUAUCGAAUCAAAGUGUCCAGUGACACCCCCCACUGGUACAUCACAGACUACCUGACCAGAAUCAGCAGCCACUAUGGCAUCCAUGCCAUAGAAGUUAAUGACGUGGAUGAGUGUAGUAGUAACGAGUAUAAGUGUGACCACCCUGCUCUGUGCACCAACACCUACGGUGGCUACCGGUGUAUUUGCAACGAGACUGACGUGAAUAAACGCCAGUCCUGCAUCAUAGAAAGAGGCCGAGUGGGAGACACAGAGGUAGACCUGGUCCUGGGGCUGGUUCUGGGCAUCUGCAUCCCUCUGCUGCUGCUGCUGCUCCUGGCUGUUCUGGCCUGCGUCUUCUGCUGCCGCAAAAAGACUGUUACUGGAGAAAUCCCCCACCUGUAUCCAAACUACAUCCCGGAGCAGUACAACCCUCCACCCUUCAACUAUUCAGACCCGGCUCUGCAGUACAUUACUCACUGCAGCCCUCGAAUCCUGGACAACUACGUACCAAGGCAGCGCCAUAGAUAGCACACGCUUACAGCUGCAUACAUCUCACGCACAUUUGCAUCUUAUCAACCACAACAUUAAAACCACAUACAGUACACAAUUGUGUAUGCCACCCUCGUGCCCCAGAUCACCUCUCAGCCAUCAGCGCGUCGACAUGGGACCUCUUGAUGAGGCUUCUUGUGGUCUCAGCUGUGGAUCAUUGCGGCUGUGGGCUGUUUUAGGGCAUCCUGUGGACUCUGUGGAGUAUGAAACUAUGGGUCAGCCUCUUUUUGUUGUUAUCUUUAAGAAAUUGCUGUGAAGUCAUGGUGUAUUUUUCUGCUGGGGAGGAGGCUGCCGUCGGUGAGGUGCUGGGGCAGAAUGUUGUUCAUUUCUAGUGUCUUCUCAUCCUGACGCAAUGUAAGCAUGAGGUGUAAUUGAGCGCUGGUUUUGCACUUAUUUGUUCCUCCGUGCUUGUUACUUUCACUUCCACUCAGUUUAUUCUGUAAAAACAACUUGGUUGGUUAGGGUUAAGGAAGAGAUGGUGGUUUGGGUUAAAACGUACCCCCCAGCUUUGUUUUUGACACAUGACGAGCGACAGGGAAUGGCUGCUCAGUGUCUCUUAUGCUACAUGCGUCAAGGCAUCCAUGCAAAGGAGAAUGAGCACAAAUCAGUCCUGUAUGAUAAACAUCACUAAUUCAUGCCCCAGGGAUGCCAGAGGGCUGUCACUUUCCCUAACAGUGGUUUUAAUGUUGUGGCUAAUCAUUAGGUGUUUAAAAAUGUUGAGAUGACAGAUUUUGAUUUAUCCCAUCACAAAGAAGUAAUCAAACCCGAGUGACUUUAAAAGACAGUUAUUUCCAAUCCUCUCCAUUGAUCCAGUGAAGGAUGUGCCAAGAUCGACAGUUUAGAGUCAGAGUCUUACCCAGCAGAAUUCGACAACCUCUUGGCUGGAGACGCUGAUGAAAAGUAAACCACUGCAGUGGUCCUUGGUUUCCAGCUGAUCCAACGCCAACAGCUUGUUUGAUAGCAACAUUAGCAUUAGUCAGAGUACCCGAUGUCAGGAUCUGCUCACAAUAAAUUAAGUAAAAUUAAUCCCUACUGGCAAAACCAGCAGCACUCAUACCCAGUAAAACACAAUGAAUUCAAUUUGUGUUAUUAUUCUGCCGAGACUUCAAUCCAUGAAAAGUAGAUGUCGCUGUUUUUUAAAAGGUAUUUAUCUGCUGUGAAAGUGACACCCUUUAUUGUUUAUUGAUUGACUGUGUCCCAAUAAAUUUGACAAAGCAAGAGUGAUUCAGUGCUGCAGCUGGAAGCUGUCAGUCGUAAAACCUCCCAGACUCUGCAAGUAAGAACCAUUUCUAAGUCUAAAUAAAAUGCCACUUUAGCAACCCUGUGAUAUUGUUUCAAGAGCAGAAAGGGUGGAUGCAAUGAAUUUUGCUAUUGCAUCAACCAUGUCACUUUAUAAUGCUGGGUACAAAAUGAUUGUUUGGCUAAGGAUAGUACAGAUGUGCAAACAUCCUCUUGCCAGCUGAUACGAGUCAUAUUGAAGCUGCUGACAGCUGGAUUGUGCUAAUAGAAUUCAAUUAUUCAAUUCAGUUUUAUUUAUACAGCGUCAAAUCACAACAGUGUUGCCUCAAGGCAACGUAGACCCUAAGGUAGACCCUAUAAUAAUACAUACAGAGAAAAAGCCAACAAUCAUA